rnacentral:lncRNA from 1 species
AUGACAAAUAUUCUCGAAAAAGUUGUUAACCCCGAAUUUGAGUGAACUUCUAGAUCCCUAUCUAAACCUCCACCACCAGGAUUUAAAAAGAAUCAGGGGAAGGAACAGGAGAGAUUUGUAGCCAAAUGGACAAAUUUCAAUAUGGACUAGAUACUGGAUAGUAUAAUGUAAUUAUAAUUUUCUUAGAUAUGAUAAAGUCCUUAAUAU